UGGAAGGGCUUGAGCCAGGAUCCACUCCUUCCCUGACCUCAUUUAAACAUUGGAAGUAGAGACAAAGGUAUCUCGCUGCUGAUACCUGUGUACCUGAAGCUUCCCAAAGGAUUCAGAUGGUUUUUGAGGAUGUGUCAGUCUCGAUGCAGUGUUCUGCAGUGAGGAAAUGUCAUGUUUGGAGUGAAUGCCAUUUGCUUCCCAUCUCUGCAGAAAGAGAUCUGCCACUGAUGCAGGCAGAGUACAGGUUGUUGUCCUAUAAGCUGUUCAAGUUCCUCUCUUCGUAAGAACGUCUUCCUGCUAUCCCUGCUGCCCACAAACAUUAUGUUAGAUCGAGAAGAAGGACUCCUUGUUCGUUGUUCCGCACACCAACCUGGGCAGCAACCUAGGCUUUUAGUGCAUCAAAUAAAAGAUCUAAUAGUGAUUAUGCUGCCAAAAACAAAGCACGACUUCUAUUUUACUGAUGUCCUUGGCAUUACUGUAUCUCCAAGAAAAUGUUUUUAAAAAGAAUAUAAUGAUAUUGAGUUCUGCCCCUAGCAGGCCAGUAAUAUUCUCCACAAGCCCAUGAAAUUUUUUGUUUUGUUUUUUUUUUUUGUUUUGUUUUUUACCUUUGUAGCUAGGGACUAUUAACAAACAGGGAUU